rnacentral:rRNA from 1 species
GACGAACGCUGGCGGCGUGCUUAACACAUGCAAGUCGAACGGAAAGGCCCUGCUUUUGUGGGGUGCUCGAGUGGCGAACGGGUGAGUAACACGUGAGUAACCUGCCCUUGACUUUGGGAUAACUUCAGGAAACUGGGGCUAAUACCGGAUAGGAGCUCCUGCUGCAUGGUGGGGGUUGGAAAGUUUCGGCGGUUGGGGAUGGACUCGCGGCUUAUCAGCUUGUUGGUGGGGUAGUGGCUUACCAAGGCUUUGACGGGUAGCCGGCCUGAGAGGGUGACCGGCCACAUUGGGACUGAGAUACGGCCCAGACUCCUACGGGAGGCAGCAGGGGGGAAUAUGGCACAAUGGGCGGAAGCCGGAGGCAGCAACGCCGCGUGCGGGAUGACGGCCUUCGGGUUGUAAACCGCUUUCGCCUGUGACGAAGCGGGAGUGACGGUAAUGGGUAAAGAAGCACCGGCUAACUACGUG